GUGGGACCAGCUAGCUAGAUAAUGCAACAAUAACAAUGCACCUGCUGAACAAAAUGAUUCUUUUUAAUGGGUUGGUGGAUCUCUCUUUUUUAUACAGCCUGCCCAUAAAUUAUCAUCUAUACCAAUAUGUACUUUAACAAAAUAGACUGUCAUAAAAUUAUGGAUAAUUUAAAGAUAUAAAAGUGUAACCUACAUUUUUUUGUACUUU
rnacentral:lncRNA from 1 species